CAGGAUUAGAUACCCUGGUAGUCACGCCGUAAACGAUGAAUGCUAGGUGUUAGGGGUUUCGAUACCCUUGGUGCCGAAGUUAACACAUUAAGCAUUCCGCCUGGGGAGUACGGUCGCAAGACUGAAACUCAAAGGAAUUGACGGGGACCCGCCCAAGCAGUGGAGUAUGUGGUUUAAUUCGAAGCAACGCGAAGAACCUUACCAGGUCUUGACAUCCCUCUGACCGGUCUAGAGAUAGACCUUUCCUUCGGGACAGAGGAGACAGGUGGUGCAUGGUUGUCGUCAGCUCGUGUCGUGAGAUGUUGGGUUAAGUCCCGCAACGAGCGCAACCCUUGAUUUUAGUUGCCAGCACUUCGGGUGGGCACUCUAGAAUGACUGCCGGUGACAAACCGGAGGAAGGCGGGGAUGACGUCAAAUCAUCAUGCCCCUUAUGACCUGGGCUACACACGUACUACAAUGGCCAGUACAACGGGAAGCGAAGCCGCGAGGUGGAGCCAAUCCUAUCAAAGCUGGUCUCAGUUCGGAUUGCAGGCUGCAACUCGCCUGCAUGAAGUCGGAAUGCUAGUA
rnacentral:rRNA from 1 species